GACGAACGCUGGCGGCGUGCCUAAUACAUGCAAGUUGAGCGCUGAAGGUUGGUACUUGUACCGACUGGAUGAGCAGCGAACGGGUGAGUAACGCGUGGGGAAUCUGCCUUUGAGCGGGGGACAACAUUUGGAAACGAAUGCUAAUACCGCAUAAAAACUUUAAACACAAGUUUUAAGUUUGAAAGAUGCAAUUGCAUCACUCAAAGAUGAUCCCGCGUUGUAUUAGCUAGUUGGUGAGGUAAAGGCUUACCAAGGCGAUGAUACAUAGCCGACCUGAGAGGGGGGACCGCCAACAUGGGACUGAGACCACGCCCCAACCCCUACCGGAGGCCGCCGUAGGGAAUCCUUCGCAAAUGAACAAAGGUCGGACGGGGCACGGCGGCUGAGUGGAGGAGGUUUUUCGGACGUAAAAACCUGUUGGUAGGGAAGAACGUUGGGGGGAGUUGAAAGCCCAUCCAGGUACCGGAACUAACCAGAAAGGGACCGCUUAACUCGUG
rnacentral:rRNA from 1 species